rnacentral:sRNA from 1 species
GAGGCAGAGGUUGCAAGAGCCAAGAUCGUGCCACUGCACUUGAGCUUGAGCGACAGAGCGAGACUCUGUCUCCAAAAAAAAAAAUAAAGUAAAAAAUAAAAAGGCGUUCCCUGUUCAAAAUUGGGUUUAAAAUUCUCUUAUGUUCUUGGCUGACAUAAUUAUAGUUUUUUUUUUAAUUUGCCUUUUAAUAAUUUUUAUUUAGAUCUUUAUACGAAAUUUAGUUUUUAGCAUAGAAUCUUGGCACAUAGAAUUACAUAUAUGAACAUAAUAUGUAUCAUGUUACAUGCAUAUGUGCACACCGUCGAGCUUGUUAAUUGUUCUAUUUUGGCUAGCUUAGGCCCUUUUUCUUCAGGAUUAAAGAUCUGAACUAAGCCAGGCGACUGGGUAGCAGACGUGGAAGCUGAUGGUUAGGCCCAGGGCAUGGCCAGGUGACAGCUCUCCAGUCACUCAUCUCUGAUUUUCAUUUGUUACUUUUCUUACCCAGAAAGGAUCUAUGUUUAUGAAAAUAAAAAGGAAGCAUUGCAAGCUGUCAAGAUGAUCAAAGGGUCCCGAUUUAAAGCUUUUUCUACCAGAGAAGACGCUGAGAAAUUUGCUAGAGGAAUUUGUGAUUAUUUCCCUUCUCCAAGCAAAACGUCCUUACCACUGUCUCCUGUGAAAACAGCUCCACUCUUUAGCAAUGACGGGUUGAAAGAUGGUUUGUGCUUGUCGGAAUCAGAAACAGUCAACAAAGAGCGAGCGAACAGUUACAAAAAUCCCCGCACGCAGGACCUCACCGCCAAGCUUCGGAAAGCUGUGGAGAAGGGAGAGGAGGACACCUUUUCUGACCUUAUCUGGAGCAACCCCCGGUAUCUGAUAGGCUCAGGAGACAACCCCACUAUCGUGCAGGAAGGGUGCAGGUACAACGUGAUGCAUGUUGCUGCCAAAGAGAACCAGGCUUCCAUCUGCCAGCUGACUCUGGACGUCCUGGAGAACCCUGACUUCAUGAGGCUGAUGUACCCUGAUGACGACGAGGCCAUGCUGCAGAAGCGUAUCCGUUACGUGGUGGACCUGUACCUCAACACCCCCGACAAGAUGGGCUACGACACACCGUUGCAUUUUGCUUGUAAGUUUGGAAAUGCAGAUGUAGUCAACGUGCUUUCGUCACACCAUUUGAUUGUAAAAAACUCAAGGAAUAAAUAUGAUAAAACACCUGAAGAUGUAAUUUGUGAAAGAAGCAAAAAUAAAUCUGUGGAACUGAAGGAGCGGAUCAGAGAGUAUUUAAAGGGCCACUACUACGUGCCCCUCCUG